rnacentral:sRNA from 1 species
CGGCCGCCAUCUUGGCCCAACUGCUCCCCUCACUCCAGUUGCUCAGCCCGCCGCUGAGCACAGCCAAUCCGCGGCCGUCCACUCACUGUUUCGGCCAAUCACCGAGCAGACGGCCCGGAAGCUCGAGAGGCUCGUGCCAGGUCGGGGGGCGAAGGCGAGGCCAGCCCACCAAGCAGGGGCGUCACCAAGGGAAAGCCAAUCACCAUUAUUUCUGAAGCCCAAGGGGGCGGGACGAGAAGUCAACGGAAUGGUGGUGCUGCUGGAAAUCUAGCACCUGGGGAGAGCCUGAGACUUUUUUAUCUAAUUGCCUAUUGGACACCUCCAUCUGGGUAAACCCAGGCAUCCAGAACUUUCCCUCAAGACUUACCUCCCUCAGUGCAGGUCGGGCUGGCCUCACGCAUUUCGCUUGGAUGCCUAAAUCUGUCUCCACGUGGGGCCGGUCGAUAAAACAACACUUCCCAGAAUACGCUGCGAUCCAUUCGCGGUCUGCACCCGGAAAGUACACCUCCCAGGGGUCUGUGCGCGCCGCCAGGGAACGGGUCUUGUGGCUUUGUCUCCCGCGAAGAGAUGGCGGAGUCGUUGAGGUCUCCGCGCCGCUCCCUGUACAAACUGGUGGGCUCGCCGCCUUGGAAAGAGGCUUUCCGGCAGAGAUGCCUGGAGAGAAUGAGAAACAGCCGGGACAGGCUCCUAAACAGGUACCGCCAGGCUGGAAGCAGUGGGCCAGGGAAUUCUCAGAACAGCUUUCUAGUUCAAGAGGUGAUGGAAGAAGAGUGGAAUGCUUUGCAGUCAGUGGAGAAUUGUCCAGAAGACUUGGCUCAGUUGGAGGAGCUGAUAGACAUGGCUGUGCUGGAGGAAAUUCAACAGGAGCUGAUCAACCAAGAGCAGUCCAUCAUCAGCGAGUAUGAGAAGAGCUUGCAGUUUGAUGAAAAGUGUCUCAGCAUCAUGCUGGCUGAGUGGGAGGCAAACCCACUCAUCUGUCCUGUAUGUACAAAGUAAGAGUUUUUAAAACCUUUUCAGCAUUAUUCGUUCCCAUUCCCCACUCCAAGGUGAGUGGAAUCUCCCCCAAGAUUUGUUACCUGAAAAGGUUUGGAGAUCCAGGUCUGGUGGCCAUGAUGCUCUGGGAUCCUAAUUCUGCUUCUAGGUACAACCUGAGAAUCACAAGCGGUGUGGUGGUGUGUCAGUGUGGCCUGUCCAUCCCAUCUCAUGCCUGUGAUACUUGGGCUGUGAUCCUCUAGAGGCAGCUUGGACUCACAUCAUUCUAUGGGGUUGAAGACAACUCAUUCCCUCUGAGGAGCCUUGUACAUACAAGCCUUUUAUUUAUAACUUAUUUUGUAUUGAAACUUUUAAACAAUACUGAAGAAAAAAAAACUUUUCCGACAUCUGUUCUUGGUUUUUGUGACGCAGGUUGAAGGGGGAGGAAUAGAAAAAGACAAACUGCCUUGGAGGAGAUAAACCAAUUUUAUGUCUAUCAUGUUAUACAAAAAUCUAGAAAUAAUAGAUUUGUACAGAAAAAAAUGAUAAUAAAUGAGAGCACAAAAC